rnacentral:rRNA from 1 species
GACGAACGCUGGCGGCGUGCUUAACACAUGCAAGUCGAACGGAAAGGCCCUGCUUUUGUGGGGUGCUCGAGUGGCGAACGGGUGAGUAACACGUGAGUAACCUGCCCUUGACUUUGGGAUAACUUCAGGAAACUGGGGCUAAUACCGGAUAGGAGCUCCUGCUGCAUGGUGGGGGUUGGAAAGUUUCGGCGGUUGGGGAUGGACUCGCGGCUUAUCAGCUUGUUGGUGGGGUAGUGGCUUACCAAGGCUUUGACGGGUAGCCGGCCUGUGUGGGUGACCGGCCACAUUGGGACUGAGAUACGGCCCAGACUCCUACGGGAGGCAGCAGUGGGGAAUAUUGCACAAUGGGCGGAAGCCUGAUGCAGCAACGCCGCGUGCGGGAUGACGGCCUUCGGGUUGUAAACCGCUUUCGCCUGUGACGAAGCGUGAGUGACGGUAAUGGGUAAAGAAGCACCGGCUAACUACGUG